rnacentral:lncRNA from 1 species
CUUCGGGCGGUUAUUUUUGUGUGCGUCUCUGCCCGCAGCCUAUUCUUGGCUCAAGGAGGCCCCUCGCAAAGUCUCGCGGGAUUCCGAGUCCGGCGGACGAAGUUGGCCAGCCCCACCCCCCAAGGCUAUAGCCCACCUGUUUUUGUGGCCUUGUUCCGCUGGACGAACAUGGCGCCCCGGCUUUCGGGCGGUUAUUUUUGGGUGCGGCUUUGACCACGGCCUAGUCUUGGCUCACGGAGGACCCUCUCAAAGUCUCACGGCAUUCCGAGUCCGGCGGACGAAGUUGGCGAGCCCCACCCCCCAAGGCUAUAGCCCACCCGUUUUUGUGGCCUUUUUCCGCUGGACGAACUUGGCGCCCUGGCCUUCGGGCGGUUAUUUUUGGGCGCGGCUUGGUCCGCGUCCUAGUUUUGGCUUACGGAGGCCCCUCGCAAUGGCUCGCGGUAUUCCGAGUCGGGCGGACAAAGUAGACCAGCCCCACCCCCCAAGGCUAUAGCCCACCCGUUUUUGUGGCCUUUUUCCGCUGGUCGAACUUGGCGACCCGGCCUUCGGGCGGUUAUUUUUGGGCGCGGCUUUGCCCGCGGCCUAUUUUUGGCACGUGGAAGCCCCUCGCAAAGUGUCGCGGCAUUCCGAAUCCGGCGGACGAAGUUGGCCUGCCCCACCCCCCCAAGGCUAUAGCCCACCCGUUUUUGUGGCCUUUUUCCGCUGGACGAACAUGGAGCCCCGGCCUUCGGGAGGUUAUUUUUGGGUGCGACUUUGCCCGUGGCCUAUUUUUGGCACACGGAGGCCCCUUCCAAAGUCUCGCGGCAUUCCGAGUCCGGCGGACGAAGUGGGCCAGCCCCACCCCCCAAGGCUAUAGCCCAACCGUUUUUCUGGCAUUUUUCCGCUGGACGAACUUGGUGCCCCGGCCUUCGGGCAGUUAUUUUUGGGUGCGGCUUUGUCCGCGGCCUAUUUUUGGCACACGGAGGCCCCUCGCAAAGUCUCGCGGCAUUCCGAGUCCGGCGGACGAAGUUGGCCAGCCCCACCCCCCAAGGCUAUAGCCCACCCGUUUUUGUGGCCUUUUUCCGCUGGGGGAACUUGGCGCCCCGGCCUUCGGGCGUUUAUUUUUGGGCUCGGCCUUGCCUGCGGCCUAUUUUUAACACACGGAGGCCCCUCGCAAAGUCUCGCGGCGUUCCGAGUCCGGCGGACAAAGUGGGCCAGCCCCACCCCCCAAGGCUAUAGCCCACCCGUUUUUGUGGACUUUUUCCGCUGGACGAACUUGGCGCCCCGGCCUUCGGGCGGUUAUUUUUGGGCGCGGCUUUGCCCGCUGCCUAUUUUUGGCACAGGGAGGCCCUUCGCAAAGUCUCGCGGCAUUC